rnacentral:tRNA from 1 species
AAGAAAUUAAUUAAUAUUAUAAUAUUGGUUUGUCAUAUCAAAAUAAUCUUUUUAAAAGAUAUUUCUUA